AGUUGUAUCCUGGCUCAGGAUGAACGCUGGCGGUAUGCCUAAUACAUGCAAGUCGUACGAAAGUUUUUAACUUUAGUGGCGGACGGGUGAGUAACGCGUGAGAAUUUACCUUUAGGAGGGGGAUAACAGCUGGAAACGGUUGCUAAUACCCCAUAUGCUUUCGAGUGAAACAGAUUUAUCUGCCUGAAGAGAAGCUCGCGUCUGAUUAGCUUGUUGGUGGGGUAAAGGCCUACCAAGGCGACGAUCAGUAUCUGGUUUGAGAGGAUGAUCAGACACACUGGAACUGAGACACGGUCCAGACUCCUACGGGAGGCAGCAGUAGGGAAUUUUCCGCAAUGGGCGAAAGCCUGACGGAGCAAUACCGCGUGAGGGAAGACUGCCUAUGGGUUGUAAACCUCUUUUUUCAGGGAGGAAUUUUGACGUGUACCUGAAGAAUAAGCAUCGGCUAACUCCGUGCCAGCAGCCGCGGUAAGACGGAGGAUGCAAGUGUUAUCCGGAAUCACUGGGCGUAAAGCGUCUGUAGGUGGUUAAACAAGUCAACUGUUAAAUCUUGAAGCUCAACUUCAAAAUCGCAGUCGAAACUGUUUGACUAGAGUAUAGUAGGGGUAAAGGGAAUUUCCAGUGGAGCGGUGAAAUGCGUAGAUAUUGGAAAGAACACCGAUGGCGAAGGCACUUUACUGGGGCUAUUACUGACACUCAAAGACNAAAGCUAGGGUAG
rnacentral:rRNA from 1 species